CAGAAUGCCUGGCAUAGGAUAUGACUGUCAAUAUUUAGCUCAACAAGAAGACAUGGCAUUUACACACAAAAGGAAGACAUGAUUCAUUGGUUUUAAGUAAAUACAACAUAAUGCAUCCUAAAAGUGCCUGGACUCUAGGGCUGACUGAUGGAGGACCCACCAUGACCCAUUAAUCCCCUAAUAAUUAACACAUGGAAUGGGGUACCAGUGAUGAAAAAUGACCACAAUUAACUCCCUUUCAAGACUCAUUCCCAGAUAUCUGAUCAGACCAAAAACUGGGAUCUCUGGGUCCUUAAUUAACAGUGAAACAUCCUCUCAUUCUCUUGGUUCUGCUUCUGUUGAGAGGCCCUGCUUAAAUCACUUUCUUCAGCUCGUUGAAAGCAGCAGGACAAAAAAGCACUGCUACUACCACAAAGGAAGCUGGGCCACUUACCUUUGAAGAUGGCUUGCACACCUCAUCUUUAAGUCUUUCCCUAAGAAUGGAUGGUGUGUUUUGACUGCAGUGCUAAAAGUCAGAGCUGGGCAAAUAUAACCUACAGGAUAUUUCUUUUCAUCAGUUGCUUGGAGUCACAUAGUGGUCACUAAAGUUUUACCUGUACGUCAAUGACCCCAUGAAGUUAAGAGACAGUUAUUUUCAUAGCUGGGAUGAUAGUGCCAACUGCUACUAGAAAGAGGAUGAGACACUUAGACCACUGUGACAAAGCACAAGCUCUUCAGGCAAAUGUUUCAAAUGUGGGAGCAAGUGUUUUCAGAGCCUACGUUCGUCAUGUUCAGGUCCAGUCCCUGUGCUUCUCCAUGGCCCAUCAUUCUCCCUGUGUCUGCUCUGCCUCUCACUGGAUAGAUGUAGCCCUCUGUUCAGUUCUGGGAAGAAUUCAACUGAAGGAAACAAUUUCAGCAGAAGUUUACUGAGCACCGUAGUCAAAGCAAGCUCUCCAGACAGACUGAAGUGGGCUGCGCUGCUGUGGGUAUAGGCACAAUGGCUUCCAUUGGAGUUUUUUAAGCAUUUUAUAAAUAUGUAUGAGGUUUGUGGCAUAUGCAUCAGAUAAUAUGAUCCUUUUUCCUUUUCAAGUCAAAGUGAAUGUGAAAGUGCCUUUUAAGGCAUUUUCCCCAUGAAACUCUUGCAAAGCCGACAGAUAAGGGUUGGAGGGUAUCAGAGCUACAACCUAAACAUUCAGUGACGCUGGCCGAGUCACAGAUGGAGACCCUUCAACAGCACCAUGUGUACAGCUGGCAAAGUGGCCUGGUGCUUUAGUUUCUGAUCCUGAUACUUCCUUGGAUCCAUCACAUUUCAAUCCCAGCCUAAACAGCAGACAGGGUGGGGGUCAGGGUUUCCUUAAAAAAAAAAAUUAUCUGGGGUCUCAUGUACUUCAGGCCUGCCUUAAAUUCACUAUGUAACCAAAGAUGACCUUGAAUUCCUGAGCCUCCUGCUUCUACUUCCCAAAUCCAGAGAUUAGAAAGGUUACAUCACUAUACCAGUAUAGCUG
rnacentral:lncRNA from 1 species